rnacentral:rRNA from 1 species
CGGGGUGCAGCAGGCGCGAAAACUUCACAAUGGGAGAAAUCCCGAUGAGGGAAUUCCAAGUGCUAGCACUAUGUGUUAGCUGUUCUUUUGUCUAAAAAACAGAAGAAGUAAGGGCCGGGUAAGACGGGUGCCAGCCGCCGCGGUAAUACCCGCGGCCCGAGUGGUGGUCGAUAUUAUUGAGCCUAAAACGUCCGUAGCCGGUCUUGUAAAUCCUUGGGUAAAUCGGCCAGCUUAACUGUCCGAAGUCCGGGGAGACUGCAAGACUUGGGAUCGGGAGAGGUCAGAGGUACUUCUGGGGUAGGGGUAAAAUCCUGUAAUCCUGGAAGGACCACCGGUGGCGAAGGCGUCUGACUAGAACGAAUUCGACGGUGAGGGACGAAGCCCCGGGGCGCAAACGGGAUUAGAUACCCCGGUAGUCCAGGGUGUAAACGCUGCGGGCUUGGUGUUGGGGGUCCUUUGUGGGCGCCCAGUGCCGGAGAGAAGUUGUUAAGCCUGCUGCUUGGGGAGUACGUCCGCAAGGAUGAAACUUAAAGGAAUUGGCGGGGGAGCAC